rnacentral:rRNA from 1 species
CGAAGGGGGCUAGCGUUGCUCGGAAUUACUGGGCGUAAAGGGCGCGUAGGCGGACAGUUUAGUCAGAGGUGAAAGCCCAGGGCUCAACCUUGGAACUGCCUUUGAUACUGACUGUCUUGAGUUCGGGAGAGGUGAGUGGAAUGCCGAGUGUAGAGGUGAAAUUCGUAGAUAUUCGGCGGAACACCAGUGGCGAAGGCGACUCACUGGCCCGAUACUGACGCUGAGGCGCGAAAGCGUGGGGAGCAAACAGGAUUAGAUACCCUGGUAGUCCACGCUGUAAACGAUGAGUGCUAGUUGUCGGCAUGCAUGCAUGUCGGUGACGCAGCUAACGCAUUAAGCACUCCGCCGUGGGGAGUACGGUCGCAAGAAUUA